UGGCUUUAGUGCUCAGAGUUCAGAGUCUCCAAGGAGCUCAGCAGUCCAGGCCUCUCCUUGUCAAAAGAGGGACUGUGGCUGAGUCAUGAUGAGGAAACAGGGCCCCAGACCCUAAGACAAAGCUGCUGACUCGGGUCUAGGGAUUUCUCUAUGACCAAGUGGCUCCUGGGGUCAGGGCUAGUUUCACCUUACUUUCCCAUUCCAGGAGAAUAGGCUUAGACCUGCUAAAUGGCUGAGAUGGAGAAAAAGAAUUGCCCUCCUUAGGGUUUCUGCAGCCAGGGAGGGAGGUCUAAGUCCAACCCCAGUAUGUUGGGGCACCCCCACUUGGAUGCUCUACUCCUCCUGGUACCUUCAUAGAGGAUGUGGCUCAUUCUAGAAGGUGAGUUAGGGAAGCUCUGCUUACCCCAGCCAGUAUUCCCAUCUUCCAAAGAGGCCUAGGCAUUCGAUUCAUAUCCCUGAUCUUAUCCAAGGCCAAGUUGGACUUGACUUCCAGCUCAUCUGGACUGUUUGGUCUCCUCAAGGCAGACUGGCUAGCAAGUUCAGACACACAAAUAAUAAAAUAAACCCACCCACAUGCCCAGGACCACUAACAACACUGAGCUCCCACAAGGAGUGUUCCUUAGAUAAGCCACUCCUCUGGAACAAGAUGAGUUCUCCUGCCUGCCAUGGGGUUGCACUUGUGGUCAGAGUUGUCUAGAGUGGGGUGGGUAGCCCUAACCCUGAAGCUUGUGAAGUAUCCCUGUGGCAUGCUCACUCUGACCCUCAGGCGCCACCACUGGGCUAUCUGGAGCCAUGUCUUAACGUGGUUACCACAUCUUCCUCCAGCCCGUGUUUUUUAAUGAGGAAUUUCCUGGAAUAUCUGCAAUUAAAUGACCACAGCCCUAAAACAACUCUUGACCUCUCUUAAUGUUUUUAAAUAAACUCCUUCGGUAAAAUUUAACUUCUACACAGAAUAUUGCCAACAUGUCAGAGUAUGGCUCACUGGGUGUAUAUGGGGUGACCAGCUCCAAUAAAGAGUUUUUCUGGGUAACCAAGGGCCUGGGUCUUUUAGAAGAACUAUCCUUGGCUCAGAAACUCUCUGUGGGCUCCUUCUGAGAAAAACUUUGCAGUGUCUACAGCCUGUGUGAGAGCUGCCCUCCUGAGCGUGUUGGCAGCAGAGCCUGAUGGAGCUUGGAACCUGGAUGCUACCAUGAAGCAAUCCUGCUGCAGAAACAUUGAUGGCGUUCAUAUGUGUCACUCUGCUGGGUGUGACACUGGGAGGAAGUCACUGUAGAAGGGCUCCUGAAUAAGCCUCACUGCACUCCUGAGGCGGCAAGCUCUGCCCACGUCAGUGAACGGUGAAAGUGGGUCUUCUCUCUGCCUCUCCACCACAGACUCAUUAGGUUGGCUGGACCCUUUGUCAAUGGCUUGUUCAAGUCGUGUGCUCCUGGCCACCCUGUGCAGGGAAGGGUCUAACCCAGGGCUUUCUGCAGGCUAGGCCAGUGCUCCUUGAUGCACUGAGCCACACCCUUAGGCUUUUUGCUUAUUUUUGUCAUGAAGGGCAGGAAUUCCGGAUCAACCCUGUGAGAACCAGCAGCUGCAGGGAUGAUAAGUACUACUCGCGUUCUGGCAUUUGUAUCUGUCUCCUUUUCUUUCUGGCUUUGCUUCAUUUGUUUUUCAUCUUUUUCUUCUUUGCCUUAGUACCAGGCUUCUUCUUUACAUUCUGUUUUCCUCUCUAUCAGUUCCUUACCCCCAUACUCCUUUAGUUUCUUUCGGGAGAGCUUCACAGCCUCUAAGAUGGGAGAAACGCAUUCUUCAGUUAUAGAAUUCUGAAAGAAAAACUGUGAAAUAAAAUACACAUCUAUAUAGCAUGCAAUUAUCAUAUACAAUAGAACACUUCAAUAUUUAUUUUAUGUAAGUAUAGUUUUAUAUGCUAAAAAUAAAUAGGGGAGUGUGUGUGUGUGUGUGUGUGUGUGUGUGUGUGUGUGUGUGUGUGAAAAGAUGGCUCCUUGGGUAAGCCUGCAUGCCAUGCAAGCACAAGCCUGGAUUCAAUCUGAGCUCUCAGGUAGACAGCAGGGCAUGGCUGUGGGUUCCUGUGGCCCGAGCUUUGGGGCUGAGACGUCAGGCAGAGUCAGGGAGAUCACAAAGGUGUGCUGGCCAGCUAGCCUAGCCAGAAAAGGGAAAGUUCUAGGUUAAGUGGAACCCUGUCCUCAGGGAAUAAGGAAGAGAGCAAUAGAGGAGGACAUUCAAAGUUAUCCUCUGUCCUCUGUAUUCGAGUGCAUAGGUGCACACACCUAUACACACCUAUGCACACAUACCAGCACACAAACAUACAUGCAACACACACAUAUACACAGUUAUUGUCCAUCCUCUGUAUUCGAGUGCAUAAGUGUACACACCUACACACAAACCUAUGCACACAUACCAGCACACAUCCAUACAACACAUACAUGUAUGCAUGCAUGUGCACACAUACACACUGUUCUAAGCACUCAGUGUUCACCCAGACCGACCUGGGCACUUGCCACUUCCUCAUUCAAAGCUCCAUCACGGAUCGUUUCGCUCCUGCAGGAGACUUCUCUCAUGCAUUACCGUUACUUCAUGUGUUGUGGCUGCAAAUUUUCUCAAAGUUUAAUUGAAAAUCCCCCUGGUUUACCUUGGUUUUUAGAUGAUGUUGUCACAGGCAUAGAAUUCUAAGUUUGUAAUUAUUUUUCUUAGCACUUGAGUGGCCGCAAUUACUUAUUGUCCUCUGGUUUCUAUGUUUUCUGCUGAGAAAGCAGCUGUCAAGUUCAUUUGUUUUUGUUUUUGUUUUAAAUAAUCUCCUCUCCUCUUCUCUCAUCCAAAUUUCUUCCCAACACCGUCUCAGACUGGAUGUAUACACUAUACCACCUUGGAUGUUGCUGGCACACAGUUCAGCCAUCUCUGCCCCAAUCCCACCAACCCCCUGCCUCUGCAUGCUCCCCUAGCACCUACUGCUCUGACUCCUGUCUUCUCCAGCUUUGACUCCAUCAGGACCCUCACGACUGAACUCGGUUUUUGUCCUUCUGUGACUGUGUUCUUGGGGUCCACCAGUACUUUGGUACAUCUCAGAAUGUCCCCUGUCCCUUCCAAGGCUGCUCUAUAGCUCUGUGUAUGAACAGAUGGAAUUUUGGUUGUCUGUUCCCCCACCAGACACCUGAGACGACUCCAUUUUUGAGCAGUUGUACACAAUGUUGCUGUAGACACCAGUGUGCACAGAUCUUCUUGGGGCAAUUUCCCCCAUUGUUUCAGAGGAUAUACCUGAAGACAGAAUUUCGGAAUUACAUGGCAAACACACUUUUAAUUUCUGGAAGAGCCAACAUAUUGCUAUUCCUAGCAGCUCUACCAUUGUAUAUCAUUAUACAUCCUCUCCAACAAUGGAGAGAGGAGAGAGCCACAGCUCGCCCGCACUCUUGCUGUCACAGGCUCUUCACAUUUGUUUCUCUAUUGUAGUCAUCUCACUGUGUGACAUUAAGGUGUGUGUGUGUGUGUGUGUGUGUGUGUGUGUGUGUGUGUGUGUGUCUGGUUUGGUCUUUUUGGGGAACUUCACUGUGGUAUAUCUAGCUUUAGAUUUCUUAAACUUAUUUUUCUUGAGGUCUGUAAGUUUUCACAGUUUUGAUUAAUGCACAUAUUUGGUUUUUGGUUUGCUUUGGUUUUGGUUUUUUGUCAACUUGAUAUAUGCUAGGGUCAUCUGUGACAAGAAGACCUCUCAAGUGAGACAAUUCCCCAUAAGCCUAGCCUGUAGGCAAAUCUGAGGGACAUUUUCUUGAUUAAUUAUGGAUGUGGAAGGGCCCAGACCACUGGUGCAGCACCUCUCUUGGGCAGUGGGUGGUAUAAGAAAUCAGGUGGAAGAAGCCGUGUGGGCCAGUAAAUGGCGUUCCUCUAUGGCCUCCGCUUCAAUUCCUGCCUCCAGGUUCCGCUUGGCUCCCCUUCGUGAUGGACAGUAAGGUGUAAGAUGAAAGAAACCCUCCCCCUCCCCCUCCCCCCAGUUGCUUUAGGUCGUGGUGUUUAUCACAACAGAAGAAAGCGAACUGAGACAGAGAAUUUGGUAUUUGGCAAGUUCUGGGCUGGAAAAAAAAAUGCAAACAGGGAAACCGGCAGAUUGAAGGAGACUUAGAGUGUCACCCGUCACACUCAGCACCCUCAGAUUCGGAGUGAAUCAGCACUCGGGAGACACCGAGGAACAGAACCAACCUGUGGCUGACGAUGUUAGGAUUUGUGACUGUCUGAAAACCCAUUAUCAUGUCUAAAAAUACAAGUCUUUAUUUUUAGACAUACACAUGGAGGCAUUUGCAGUAGAUGUCACAUGACUUGGUUGUUUCUGAGGGAUACAGAGGAAGGAAGACUCAUGAGAAGGAGAAAUGCAGAAAGGAGAAGACUGGCCCUGUGUCAAGCUCUACACCAGGACCAGGAUGCCUGAGGGUCUGUGAUAGCAUUCUGCAUGCUUGAAAUUAUAUGUAAUAAAGUGUUUCAAAUAUGC
rnacentral:lncRNA from 1 species